AGAGUUUGAUCCUGGCUCAGGAUGAACGCUGGCGGCGUGCCUAACACAUGCAAGUCGAACGAAGCACUGAGACUUCGGUUUUUGUGCUUAGUGGCGGACGGGUGAGUAACGCGUGAGCAAUCUGCCUUUCAGAGGGGAAUAACAACGAGAAAUCGUUGCUAAUACCGCAUAAGCUAGUAGCAUCGCAUGAUGUAGCUAGAAAAGGAGCGAUCCGCUGAUAGAUGGGCUUGCGUCUGAUUAGCUAGUUGGUGGGGUAACGGCCUACCAAGGCGACGAUCAGUAGCCGGUCUGAGAGGAUGAACGGCCACAUUGGGACUGAGACACGGCCCAGACUCCUACGGGAGGCAGCAGUGGGGAAUAUUGCACAAUGGGGGAAACCCUGAUGCAGCGACGCCGCGUGAAGGAAGAAGUAUCUCGGUAUGUAAACUUCUAUCAGCAGGGAAGAUAGUGACGGUACCUGACUAAGAAGCCCCGGCUAACUACGUGCCAGCAGCCGCGGUAAUACGUAGGGGGCAAGCGUUAUCCGGAUUUACUGGGUGUAAAGGGAGCGUAGACGGUGUGGCAAGUCUGAUGUGAAAGGCAUGGGCUCAACCUGUGGACUGCAUUGGAAACUGUCAUACUUGAGUGCCGGAGGGGUAAGCGGAAUUCCUAGUGUAGCGGUGAAAUGCGCAGAUAUUUGGAAGAACACCGAUGGCGAAGGCAGCUCUCUGGGCCGUCACUGACGCUGAGGCGCGAAAGCCGGGGGAGCGAACAGGAUUAGAUACCCUGGUAGUCCACGCCGUAAACCAUGAAUACUAGGUGUCGGGG
rnacentral:rRNA from 1 species